rnacentral:tRNA from 1 species
GCACCCUUAGCUCAAUGGUAGAGCAGCUGACUCUUAAUCAGUAGGUUGAAGGUUCAAGUCCUUCAGGGUGCA